AGACACCCAAUUAAAUGUGAUUUUCAGAUAAACAACAAAUCAGUGAUUUAGUGUAAGUGUGUCCCGUGCAAUAUUUGGGACAUACUUGUACUAAAAAUUACUUGUUUUGUCCCUGGAAAUCCAAAUUUAACUGGAUGUCUUGCA
rnacentral:miRNA from 1 species